UACAGAGGUCCCAAGCGUUGUUCGGAUUCAUUGGGCGUAAAGGGUGCGUAGGUGACGCUGUAAGUGGGGUGUGAAAUUUCGGAGCUUAACUCCGAAACUGCAUUCCAUACUGCGGUGCUUGAGGACUGGAGAGGAGACUGGAAUUUACGGUGUAGCAGUGAAAUGCGUAGAGAUCGUAUGGAAGACCAGUGGCGAAGGCGGGUCUCUGGACAGUUCCUGACACUGAGGCACGAAGGCCAGGGGAGCAAACGGG
rnacentral:rRNA from 1 species